rnacentral:rRNA from 1 species
AGAGUUUGAUCCUGGCUCAGAACGUACGCUGGCGGCACGCCUAAUACAUGCAAGUCGAACGAAGUAGCAAUACUUAGUGGCAGACGGGUGAGUAACAUGUAGGUAUCUACCCUUUGGUCUGGAAUAACACGAGGAAACUUGUGCUAAUACCGGAUAAGUCUUUACGGAGAAAGCUUUAUGCACCAUUGGAUGAGCCUGCACUUGAUUAGUUUGUUGGUGGGGUAAUGGCCUACCAAGACAAUGAUCAAUAGCUGAUUUGAGAGGAUGAUCAGCCACAUUGGGACUGAGACACGGCCCAAACUCCUACGGGAGGCAGCAGUAGGGAAUCUUGCACAAUGGAGGAAACUCUGAUGCAACGAUGCCGCGUGAGUGAAGAAGGCCUUUGGGUUGUAAAGCUCUUUCGUCGGGGAAGAAAAUGACUGUACCCGAAUAAGAAGGUCCGGCUAACUUCGUGCCAGCAGCCGCGGUAAUACGAAGGGACCUAGCGUAGUUCGGAAUUACUGGGCUUAAAGAGUUCGUAGGUGGUUAAAAAAGUUGGUGGUGAAAUCCCAGAGCUUAACUCUGGAACUGCCAUCAAAACUUUUUAGCUAGAGUAUGAUAGAGGAAAGCAGAAUUUCUAGUGUAGAGGUGAAAUUCGUAGAUAUUAGAAAGAAUACCGAUUGCGAAGGCAGCUUUCUGGAUCAUUACUGACACUGAGGAACGAAAGCAUGGGUAGCGAAGAGGAUUAGAUACCCUCGUAGUCCAUGCCGUAAACGAUGUGUGUUAGACGUUGGAAAUUUAUUUUCAGUGUCGCAGCGAAAGCGAUAAACACACCGCCUGGGGAGUACGACCGCAAGGUUUAAAACUCAA